UUUAGGACCAGGACGUGUGACAGUCUGUUGCCCACAGGACCGGCCAGCAGCGUCAGCCCCUGUCCCCUCCUCCCGCUGCUGGGUGGACGCAGCCCCGACCUGGCCUUGGGGCAGGACUCCAUGCUGGGCUCCCGCCUCGUUUUCCCUGCUUGCCCUGCCUGCCUCCUUCAGGGUCGUCUGGGCUCUGGUGUGGCCCCGGGGCUGUGGAGGGGCCAUGGCUCCCCCUCUGGCUCCGGGAGCGCACGGGGCGGAGUGUGUCACACUGAGACGCUGUAGCUGAUGCCUCGUGGCCAGGGGCGUCCUGUCAGAGAGCCACGGUCCAUGCACCACGCAUCCCGCACACAUCAUAAAGAUACAGUAAUGAUCUUUCCAGAAGGAAAUGCUUCUGGCCACCACGGCUGCUUGUCAGGUGGUAACACACCGUGCGGCAGGAUUUAAGUCUUUAUUUUAUGGAUCAGCUUGAACAAUGUGCUGAAAGGAGCAAAUUGAGGGGCCAGUGAAGGUGAAGUUCCCAUGAUUUAAAAACGAACCACUGUGCAGUGAACAACUCAGUGGUGUUCAGCGCCUUCACGGUGGUGUCACGGCUGCCACGUGUCGUGCCUAUACACCUUCACCACCCCGGACGAGGCCCGUGCCCCCGGAGCAGCCGAGGCCUGUCCUCCACCCCUGCCCCCCGUGCCCUGCUGCCGCGUCUCCGGACCGGCCCGUUCUGGACAACGCGCGUAGACGGGGUCCCAGGUGCCUCCUUGGGUCUGGCGUCUGGCGCUCGGCAGCGGCGUCUGAGGCUGGUCCGCGGGCAGCGUGUGGCCGUGCUGUGGCCCUUCUCCGGCCGAGCCGCGCUCCAGCGUGUGCGUGGACCACAGCGCGUCCUGCCACGGCUGCCGUGGGCUGGGGCGCGCGGAGCCCAGAUCCUGCUCUCCACUCGUCUGGCCGUUUUGCUCCGGAGGGAGACACGUUGUCUUCGCCGCCGUCGGGGCUCCUGACUGACAGCGGCCGCGGAGGAGGGUUGGCCUGCGGCCAGCAGUUCACGCAGCAGCGCACUUGAUCUGAAGCAUUUGGUUUGCAGCCGCGUGAACGCCUCCCUCUCCUCGCGGGCCCCCUCCGGCCUCUCACUGGGGACUUUCCCCGCCUCCCCCUCCCGCCACACAGCCCUUGCUCUGCAUUCAUCAGCAGAGGUGACCAUGGUCUCCCUCAGCAUCCUUGAGACCCGAGCCUACUGUGUGCAGCUCCCUGGCCGGAGGAAUGUGCUCGAGAGCCGUCCACACUGCGCUCUCCCAGUGGCCAUGCCUCCUUCUGGCUGAGCAGCACCUCUUGCGUGACCACUCACCCCGCUGUGCCCUCCAUGUCCUUUGGGAGCAGAGUGUCUUGGUCUCUGUGCCCCACGUAACAUGCAAUGGAGAACACGUUUGAAAUGACAGCAAGAAGCCGUUCACACCUUUCUGUCCUGCCAAAAAGGAUGCCCCGGGAGGGCAGAAACCGUGGCUGUCUUGCUGCCCUGGCGGCUGGGGGGCAGGCUGGAGAGCCUUGGUGGGGCUGCCCGCUGGACUCUCUGUGCCCGGAUCGGAGCCCCCCACCCUGAGGGACACCCUGUCAGCCUCAGCACCCAGGGAGACAGCCAGGUGUCCACCUCCAAUGAAAGCCCCACCCAGUGGGGUUAUAAGUGCACACUUCAGAAUCUGAGGGGACAAGCAGGACAGCCUCUCCCACAGGGAGAAAGGGCUCCCUCUUGGUCUUUCGCUCUCUGGUCGCGGUGGGUGGAUGCCUUCCUCCCCACCUGACACUGGUGGGUCGCUAGGUGGCCUGGGGGACACUCCCUGACCGUGAGCCGCGGUGAGAGCCCCCAGAGCGGAGGCUGGGGCUGGGCCCUGGGACCCUCCCUUGCCCAGGGAGGUGUGGCCCCGGGGCUGAGGCCUGUGUGGUCCAUUACAUCCCAUGUUGCU